AGAAAAGAUGAAGAAAGCCAAGAAAAGGGACCAGAAGAGAAAGCAGAAAGACAGGAGGAAGAAAGGGAGAGAGGGCCAGGCAGUCGCACUGUGAACAAAACAGGAGAAGGAGAAGCGGGGCAAAGUUCCCUGCCCACCGACGCCAGCCUGCUUGGAUGACUUGCCUCGUUUCAUAAUUCACUUACUGUCUGCACCAGCCAGCCUCCAGCCUGGCUGGACCCUGCUGCCUGUGUGGCCCGGAGCCAGAGGCCCCCACACUCCCAGCUGCUCUUCUACAGAUGCCAUCAACGAGCAGGACUCUGGGUGGCUCCACUGUCUAAGCCUGGAGAGUCACCGCCGAGGGAUGAGGACGCGCCAGCCCGGGGGGACGCGCCAGCUGCUUUCGCGGCCCCAAGCGCGCAGCGCCCAGCAGCCGCGCCGAGCCUGACACGCUGUCCUCUCCCCUCGCGCACAGGGCUCUGCGAGUGACCCGGCGGGCGAGCUCCGUGCUGCAUGGAACGGCUGCAGAAGCAACCACUUACCUCCCCCGGGAGCGUGAGCCCCUCCCGAGAUUCCAGUGUGCCUGGCUCUCCCUCCAGCAUCGUGGCCAAGAUGGACAAUCAGGUGCUGGGCUACAAGGACCUGGCUGCCAUCCCCAAGGACAAGGCCAUCCUGGACAUCGAGCGGCCCGACCUCAUGAUCUACGAGCCUCACUUCACUUAUUCCCUCCUGGAACACGUGGAGCUGCCUCGCAGCCGCGAGCGCUCGCUGUCACCCAAAUCCACAUCCCCCCCACCAUCCCCAGAGGUGUGGGCGGACAGCCGGUCGCCUGGAAUCAUCUCUCAGGCCUCGGCCCCCAGGACCACUGGAACCCCCCGGACCAGCCUGCCCCAUUUCCACCACCCUGAGACCUCCCGCCCAGAUUCCAACAUCUACAAGAAGCCUCCCAUCUAUAAGCAGAGAGAGUCCGUGGGAGGCAGCCCUCAGACCAAGCACCUCAUCGAGGAUCUCAUCAUCGAGUCAUCCAAAUUUCCUGCAGCCCAGCCCCCAGACCCCAACCAGCCAGCCAAAAUCGAAACCGACUACUGGCCAUGCCCCCCGUCUCUGGCUGUUGUGGAGACAGAAUGGAGGAAGCGGAAGGCGUCUCGGAGGGGAGCAGAGGAAGAGGAGGAGGAGGAAGAUGACGACUCUGGAGAGGAGAUGAAGGCUCUCAGGGAGCGUCAGAGAGAGGAACUCAGUAAGGUUACUUCCAACUUGGGAAAGAUGAUCUUGAAAGAAGAGAUGGAAAAGUCAUUGCCGAUCCGAAGGAAAACCCGCUCUCUGCCUGACCGGACACCCUUCCAUACCUCCUUGCACCAGGGAACGUCUAAAUCUUCCUCUCUCCCCGCCUAUGGCAGGACCACCCUGAGCCGGCUACAGUCCACAGAGUUCAGCCCAUCAGGGAGUGAGACUGGAAGCCCAGGCCUGCAGGUGAGUGCCUCCUGGAGGGGAACAGGUGGAGCAGCAGAAGCUGGGUCCUGGCACCUGAAAGUGUCAGGGGAAGGGGGGUGUGGGGCCACAGAGUUGCCUGGUGAAGAAGAAGAAGCCGGGGUAAGGCUGGGAAGGUCUCCCUGCCCCGCUCUGGCUCACUGCGGCUUUGGUCUCCCCAGAACGGAGAGGGCCAGAGGGGGAGGAUGGACCGGGGGAACUCCCUGCCCUGUGUGCUGGAGCAGAAGAUCUAUCCCUAUGAAAUGCUAGUGGUGACCAACAAGGGGCGAACCAAGCUGCCACCGGGGGUGGAUCGGAUGCGGCUUGAGAGGCAUCUGUCUGCCGAGGACUUCUCAAGGGUAUUUGCCAUGUCCCCUGAAGAGUUUGGCAAGCUGGCUCUGUGGAAGCGGAAUGAGCUCAAGAAGAAGGCCUCUCUCUUCUGAUGGCCCCCACCUGCUCCGGGACGGCCCCCUUACCCCUGCUGCUUCAGGGUUUUUCCCCGGCGGGUUGGGAGGGGCAGGAGGUGGGGUGGAAAUAGGGUGGGCUCCUUUCCUCAGGUAGAGUGGGGGGCCAAAACCUCUGCAGUCCCCGGCAGGGAGCUACGGACUUUCUUCCCCUCACGAGGCUGGGGGCCUCCUGCUCUCGUCCCUGGCCCUCCCUGCACAGGGCAAAGCCAGUCUGGGCUCUGGCACACAGAGUUCAUGUUUGCGCCCUCUCCCUGCCCCUCACCCCAGAGGGUGAGGAGGAAUGAGGGGCAUUGGUGGUUAGGCCGGUUGGCUGUCUUGAACAGCUGGAGGGAAGAUGCAGGGGUGGGAAGCGGCCAGGCAGAAAGAGCUCCAGGCUCUUGUGUCGCCCACCCAGCCCUCCCAUACUCACUCCUGACAGCUUUCCUGCACUGCAGCCUCCU